rnacentral:snoRNA from 1 species
AAGACUAUACUUUCAGGGGUCAUUUCUGUAGUUGGUCACUAGAGGAGAGUGAUCGCUCCUGAUCGGCGUCACAAACCACGAGGAGGAGCGAGGUGUUCUCUUCUGAGCGCGAAGCGGGCGGGGGGGGCCGGCUG